AACGAACGCUGGCGGCAUGCCUAACACAUGCAAGUCGAACAAGACCUUCGGGUCUAGUGGCGCACGGGUGCGUAACGCGUGGGAACCUGCCCUUAGGUUCGGAAUAACUCCCCGAAAGGGGUGCUAAUACCGGAUAAUGUCUUCGGACCAAAGAUUUAUCGCCUUUGGAUGGGCCCGCGUUGGAUUAGCUAGUUGGUAGGGUAAAAGCCUACCAAGGCGACGAUCCAUAGCUGGUCUGAGAGGAUGAUCUGCCACACUGGGACUGAGACACGGCCCAGACUCCUACGGGAGGCAGCAGUGGGGAAUAUUGGACAAUGGGCGAAAGCCUGAUCCAGCAAUGCCGCGUGAGUGAUGAAGGCCUUAGGGUUGUAAAGCUCUUUUACCCGGGAUGAUAAUGACAGUACCGGGAGAAUAAGCUCCGGCUAACUCCGUG
rnacentral:rRNA from 1 species